rnacentral:rRNA from 1 species
GUCUUCUAGAAUAAAACAUUAGAAGUCCAGCCUGCCCAGUGAAUAUUUCAACGGCCGCGGUAACCUGACCGUGCUAAGGUAGCGCAAUCAAUUGCCCUUUAAUUGUGGGCUAGUAUGAAUGGCUAGACAAAAGUUUAACUGUCUCAAAGAGCUGCCUGAAAAUUUACCUUUAGGUGCAGAGGCCUAAAUCUUAGUGAAAGACAAGAAGACCCUAUCGAGCUUUAAUUCUUACUAUUUUAUUAUAAUAGUAUAAAUUUUUAUUGGGGCAAUAAAGGAGCAAACAAAGCCUCCUUAAUAAAUACAGCUAAACGAAUUUAUAAUAGAACCAUUAUUAAUGUUCAUGGUAUAAGCUACCGUAGGGAUAACAGACUAAUUUCCUUCAAGAGUUCACAUUGACAAGGAAGUUUGGCACCUCGAUGUUGGCUUAAAAAAACAGUUAUGAAGCAGCAUUCUAACUAUGUAGGUUUGUUCAACCUUUAAUAUUUUA